UGAGGAAUUUUGCGCAAUGGGGGAAACCCUGACGCAGCGACGCCGCGUGGAUGAUGAAGGCCUUCGGGUUGUAAAGUCCGGUAAGCAGGGAAGAAUAAGUGGGGGGUAAUAUUCCUCAUGAUGACGGUACCUGCCUAAAGCCCCGGCUAACUACGUGCCAGCAGCCGCGGUAAUACGUAUGGGGCGAGCGAUGUUCGGAAUUAGUGGGCGUAAAGGGCGUCUAGGCGGGGAUUUAAGUUAGGUGUGAAAGCUAUGGGCUCAACCCAUAAACUGCACCUAAAACUGGAUCUCUUGAGUUCGGUAGAGGAGAGCGGAAUUCCAGGUGUAGCGGUGAAAUGCGUAGAUAUCUGGAAGAACACCAGUGGCGAAGGCGGCUCUCUGGCCUAGGACUGACGCUGAAGCGCGAAAGCGUGGGGAGCGAACA
rnacentral:rRNA from 1 species